AUGGCGAAGAACGUGGACAGGCCGCUCUUCACCGCGACGUUUAACGUCCAGAGCAGCUCUGCCGACUACGUCACCUUCAUCACUGGCCUCCGCAACAAGCUCAGCAACCCCGACCACUUCUUCCACAACCGCCCCGUGCUGCCGCCGAUCGAGCCCAAGUUUCGCCCCGGGCCCCCGAAAUCUCAGGACCGGCCCUGCACCUAUGUCGGGUUCGGCGGCACCUACCGCGACCUCCUCGGUGACACCGACAAGCUGACCAACGUCGCUCUCGGCCGGCAGCAGAUGGCCGACGCAGUGACCGCGCUCCACGGGCGCACCAAGGCUGACAAGACCUCCGGCCCGAAGCAGCAGCAUGCGAGGGAGGCGGUGACGACGCUGCUCCUCAUGGUACACGAGGCCACGCGGCUCCAGACCGUGUCGGGGUUCAUGGCCAGCCUGCUGCACCCCAAGGCGGUAGAGAAGAAGAGCGGGAAGAUCUCCAAUGAGCUAAAGGCCCAGGUGAACGGGUGGCAGGACCUGUCCGAAGCGCUGCUGAAGACGGACGCGAAGCCCCUGCCGGGGAAGUCGCCAGCGAAGUUCACGCCGAUCGAGAAGAUGGGCGUGAGGACGGCGGAGCAGGCGGCCGCCACGUUGGGGAUCCUGCUGUUCGUCCAGGUGCCGGGUGGGAUGACGGCGGCCCGGGCGUUGAAGCUGUUUCAUGCGAGUGGGGGGAAAUAG
rnacentral:rRNA from 1 species